rnacentral:rRNA from 1 species
UACGUAUGGAGCAAGCGUUAUCCGGAUUUACUGGGUGUAAAGGGUGCGUAGGUGGCAGUGCAAGUCAGAUGUGAAAGGCCGGGGCUCAACCCCGGAGCUGCAUUUGAAACUGCAUAGCUAGAGUAUAGGAGAGGCAGGCGGAAUUCCUAGUGUAGCGGUGAAAUGCGUAGAUAUUAGGAGGAACACCAGUGGCGAAGGCGGCCUGCUGGACUGUUACUGACACUGAGGCACGAAAGCGUGGGGAGCAAACAGG